AACGAACGCUGGCGGCAUGCCUAACACAUGCAGGUCGAACGAGACCUUCGGGUCUAGUGGCGCACGGGUGCGUAACGCGUGGGAACCUGCCCUUAGGUUCGGAAUAACUCCCCGAAAGGGGUGCUAAUACCGGAUAAUGUCUUCGGACCAAAGAUUUAUCGCCUUUGGAUGGACCCGCGUUGGAUUAGCUAGUUGGUAGGGUAAAAGCCUACCAAGGCGACGAUCCAUAGCUGGUCUGAGAGGAUGAUCAGCCACACUGGGACUGAGACACGGCCCAGACUCCUACGGGAGGCAGCAGUGGGGAAUAUUGGACAAUGGGCGAAAGCCUGAUCCAGCAAUGCCGCGUGAGUGAUGAAGGCCUUAGGGUUGUAAAGCUCUUUUACCCGGGAUGAUAAUGACAGUACCGGGAGAAUAAGCUCCGGCUAACUCCGUG
rnacentral:rRNA from 1 species